rnacentral:rRNA from 1 species
GACGAACCGUGCGAACGUUAUUCGGAUUCACUGGGCUUAAAGGGCGCGUAGGCGGACUCGCCAGUCCGGGGUGAAAUCUUUCGGCUUAACCGGAAAAGUGCCUUGGAUACUGCGAGCCUUGAGGAAGGUAGGGGCAUGUGGAACUUCCGGUGGAGCGGUGAAAUGCGUAGAUAUCGGAAGGAACACCGGUGGCGAAAGCGGCUCACUGGACCAUAACUGACGCUGAUGCACGAAAGCUGGGGGAGCAAACAGG